GUCAGAAUGACCACUGCGUUCAGGUCUAAGGCGCUGUGUUCAGGUCGCAGUCUACUCUUGUAGGCGUGGGUUUGAAUUCCACUUAUAACA